CAGAGGACACCAUUGCCUGGAGAUGACAGAAGGCCGAGGAUGGAGAGAGGUGCUGAUAGAGGCCAGACCAGACAAGCAGUGCCAAGUCCAUAGUGGGACACCCAAGGGAGGAGGCAAUCCUAGAUGAGGUCCAUCCCAGAACUAGACCUUGCAGGGACUGGACCUCAAGGAGCUAUGAACAUAGAAACCCUAUACACAAUAUCACAUGAACCCCUCCACAAGGGCUUCUGAUAUGGUCUUAGACCUUCGGAAAGUUCAGGGGUAGUAGCCUCUGGGCCCAUAGUGCUCCCCUGAUGAUGCAGCCCCACCCUCGACUCUUGCCACUGCAGAUGCUCCUUGGACAGUUUCAUCUGGGCCUUUCACAUCAGCUCCCUCUAAAUGUGACUGGACCUCAAAUGGAUCUUCAGACCCCUAUGCCCAACCACCUCCCAGCUACCUUCCCUGGACAACCCACAGGUCACAUGAUCACCAGGAAGCCCAUGUCUCAGCAUGAUAACCUGGAGAAACCUACAGAUGCCAGGCUUCUGAAUCUCAUUCACCAUGCUUCCCAGGGAUCAAGGAAGAAAUACUCAGAGACACAGACUGAAAAAUCAGGAAAUUGGAUGGGAUUCAGAGCCCUUGGAGCCGAGACUUCUCAUUCAUUCACCCAACUCCAGUCUAAAACAUGCAGCUCUGAAGCAGGGCUGCUUCACAGAGACUUGAGUAAAUAGCACAGAAAGCCCAGGUUUUACCAGUGAGGAGGAGAGUAAAUACACUGAUCAUUUGCAACAGCACCUCUUCAGAUAUGGCACCUCUCCUUGGAGAGAGGAGACAUGGAAGACAGGGAGACCAUUCUAGCUGAAGCUCACACCACUUACACAACAAAAGAUCUAAGUCUAAAAGGGAGAGAAUAAAGACCUGGCUCACAUGGGUGUGAAGGGUGCAUGUGGAAACAUUGCAUCUUUAACAUUUCAUAACAUCUUGUAGCAGGCUUACUAUGGCAGGAAGGACAAGUGUGGCUGGCCCAGCCAGGGCUGUCCUGCUCAGACCUUCCUAGGCUUUGCAAUGCUGGAAUAAUAGGAAAGCCACACUCAAUGAGCAUCUCUCAGCCUCACAUCUCCUGGUCAACCCAGAAUGCCACAACCACAGGCUGAACCACAGAUCUGGAGGCUGGGAAGUCCAAGAGCAUGGUACUGGCAUCAGGCAAGGGUCAGCCCAUGCUGGAGGGCAGAAGGCAGAAGUCAGCAUGUGAGACAGAGAUAAGAAAUUAGGCUGAACUUGCUUUUAUAGCAAACCUAGCCUCUCAAUAACUAACCCACUCCAGCAAUAGUGGCAUUAAUCCAUUCAUGAGGGCAGAGCACCCAUGACCUAAUCACAUCCUAAAGACCCCACAUCAAUUACAUCUCAACAUGAGGUUCAGAGGGCACAAACAUUCAAACCAUAGCAGUCAGUAGAGAGCAUCAACAUAUAUUGUACAGCAGAAAAACAAACAUCCAGAGAGAAUGUCUAUGAUGGUACCCAAUGAGUCUAGGACCAGGAUUCUUAUGCUAUGGUCGCUCAUAUUUUUGAGUUUCAUCAAAUGAAUGUCCUUCAUAUCACCAGCAAGCAGCUUCCACCUUCUGGAUCUUCAGAAUGGUCUUAAAGAUGAGGGAUGGAGGCCAGGCAUGGUGGCUUAUGACUGUAAUCCCAGCACUUUGGGAGCCCAAGGCAGGAAGAUUGCUUGAGGCUAAGAGUUCAAGAUCAGCUUGGGCAACACAGCAAAAACCUAUCUCUACAAAAACUAAAAAUAAAAAUAAAUCACCUGAGCAUGAUGGUUUAUAUAGGCUGGUUUAUAUAGGCUGAGGUGGCUAAGGUGGAAGGAUUGCUUAAGCCCAGGAAGUUGAGACUGCAGAGAGCCAUGA
rnacentral:lncRNA from 1 species